rnacentral:ncRNA from 1 species
CAAAAGGCCGUGACAAGAACUAGUAACUGCAGCGCUUUCUUUCAGAGAGCCGGUGGCGGGUGGGAACCGGUAGAAGCAGGCAGCGAACUCAUCUUCGAGCCGUUUGGCCAAAAGACCGCAACCGAGCGCAAGCUUCGCCGGUCAGAGCCAUAAACGUACCCCGCGUUAAGGGGAGAGUGGGCCCAGGCAAAGCAUGCUUGAGUCAACUAGGGUGGUACCACGGGAAAUAAGCCUCUCGUCCCUAGC